ensembl:lncRNA
AGCGGUCUUUAUAAAUCAGAGAAGAUCAGAGCGAUCUUUAUAAAUCAGAGAAGAUCAGAGCGGUCUUUAUAAAUCAGAGAAGAUCAGAGCGGUCUUUAUAAAUCAGAGAAGAUCAGAGCGGUCUUUAUAAAUCAGAGAAGAUCAGAGCGGUCUUUAUAAAUCAGAGAAGAUCAGAGCGGUCUUUAUAAAUCAGAGAAGAUCAGAACUGUCUUUAUAAAUCAGAGAAAAUCAGAGUGGUCUUUAUAAAUCAGUGAGGCCCCACACUGCUACAUUAUAACUGGCCAGGGGCCCCACACUGCUACAUCAUCAAUGGCCAGGGGCCCCACACUGCUGCAUCAUAACUGGCCAGGGGCCCCACACUGCUACAUCAUCACUGGCCAGGGGCCCCACACUCCUACAUCAUAACUGGCCAGGGCCCCACACUGCUACAUCAUCACUGGCCAGGGGCCCCACACUGCUAAAUCAUAACUGGCCAAGGGCCCCACACUGCUACAUCAUCACUGGCCAGGGGCCCCACACUGCUACAUCAUAACUGGCCAGGGGCCCCACACUGCUACAUCAUCACUGGCCAGGGGCCCCACACUGCUACAUCAUACCAUUAAUAUCACAUCAUAACUGACCAGGGAGCCCACACUGCUACAUCAUCACUGGCCAGGGGCCCCACACUGCUACAUCAUCACUGGCCAGGGGCCCCACACUGCUACAUCAUACCAUUAAUAUCACAUCAUAACUGACCAGGGGCCCCACACUGCUACACCAUAACUGGCCAGGGGCCCCACACUGCUACAUCAUAACUGACCAGGGGCCCCACACUGCUGCAUCAGGCUUCGUUAUUGUCAGGCUCAUUAGAAUAUGAGUCAUUAUCAUAUUGUUGCCAAGGAGCGAUUUCAGUGUUUCUACAUCUGGUUUGCAUAUCAUUGAUUUAAAGAACAGAGUUUGUUUGUCCUGUCUCGGGGUGAUCACACGCACGCACAGACCGGAAAUUGAAAACUUCCGAAAGGAAGGCUACUGCCCUCCAAACGUGGACACAUAUGGAUGCAUACACAACACACACACACACACACACACACACACAACACACACACACAACAAAUACACAACACACACAACAAAUACACAACACACACACACAACACACACACACAACACACACACAUGUGCACACCACACACUCUCUCUUUAUCCAUAUGACCAAGUCAAAGACCAGCCUUCUAUAAUGCCAGGAGUUUGAAGAUGCAUGAAGAAACCAUACAGAGCAUUCAGGAAAUAUUCAGAGCCCUUGACAUUUUUACACAUUUUCUUACGUUUCAGCCUUAUUUUAAAUUUAUUAAAUAGUUUUUUUUCUCAUCAAUUUACACACAAUACCCCAUAAUGAUAAACGCAAAAACUGUUCUUUAGAAAUGUUUGCAAAUUUAUUACAAAUUUAAAAAACUGAAAUAUCUUAUUUACAUAAGUACUCAGUCCUUUUGCUAUGAGACUUGAAAUGGAGCUCAGGUGUAUCCUGUUUCCAUUGAUCAUCCUUGAGAUGUUUUUACAACUUGAUUGGAGUUCACCUCUGGUCCUCUUCCUCUGGUCCUCUUCCUCUGGUCCUCUCCCUCUGGUCCUCUCCCUGUGGUCCUCUACCUCUGGUCCUCUCCCUCUGGUCCUCUCCCUCUGGCCCUCUCCCUCUGGCCCUCUCCCUCUGGUCCUCUCCCUCUGGUCCUCUCCCUCUGGUCCUCUCCCUCUGGUCCUCUCCCUCUCCUCUCUGGUCCUCUACCUCUGGUCCUCUCCCUCUGGUCCUCUCCCUCUGGUCCUCUCCCUCUGGUCCUCUUCCUCUGGUCCUCUCCCUCUGGUCCUCUCCUCUCUGGUCCUCUCCCUCUGGUCCUCUCCCUCUGGUCCUCUCCCUCUG